rnacentral:snRNA from 12 species
AACGCAGCGCGUUCCGGAAACGAACAGGCCUGUACUAACCGAGGCACGUCUAUUGCUGGUUGAAAACUAUUUCCAAACCCCCUCCUGGGAUUGUCUUGGGCCUUCGAGAAUUUUUGGAAGGGCUCCCUUCGGGGUAAAGCC